UCCUGCGUUUGUGAUGUGAUGUCCUCC
rnacentral:piRNA from 1 species